CGGUCUCAUGUGGUGAAAAAACAGCAGGAUAAGGAUCUUCAUAAGCGCUCCCUAGUUUGUGUAUAAAGCUCUGAUCUUCAGGGUUGCUGAGGUAACAAGAAAAUGAUUCUACGUGAAGGCUGGUUGAAUUCUCAUCGGUUUCCAUGGAGACAAAAUGCUUCAGGCUUCUUUUGUCUGAUGAUAAAUUUAAAGAGAGUUUGAGGCAGAAGCAACAAUUGCUCUUAUAAGUGUGGAAAGAGUUUUAUUACAAGCUUUGAUACAAAAAAAAAAAAAAAAAAAGCUUAAAACAGCAGGAUAAGGAUCUUCAUAAGCGCUCCCUAGUUUGUGUAUAAAGCUCUGAUCUUCAGGGUUGCUGAGGUAACAAGAAAAUGAUUCUACGCGAAGGCUGGUUGAAUUAUCAUCGGUUUCCAUGGAGACAAAAUGCUUCAGGUUUCUUUUUGUCUGAUGAAAAAUUUUAAGAGAGUUUGAGGCAGAAGCAACAAUUGCUCUUAUAAGUGUGGAAAGAGUUUUAUGACAAGCUUUGAGACAGGAAGCAAUAGAACAAAUUUGACUCACAAAAAAAAAAGCAGCUUGCCGACAAACAAACGAUGAAAGACAGCAAAGACUGGAAAGAUCAUAAGCUAAUGUAAAUCGAAAGGAGAUCAUAGACUUGCAUCAAGUAGCAAAGGAAAAAGGUUGUGAAAGCAAUAGAUCAAAAUCCUGAUUCAGUGAUUUUGAGAGAAGC
rnacentral:lncRNA from 1 species